AUUGAACGCUGGCGGCAGGCUUAACACAUGCAAGUCGAACGAAGGCUUCGGCCUUAGUGGCGCACGGGUGAGUAACACGUGGGAACCUGCCUUUCGGUUCGGGAUAACGUCUGGAAACGGACGCUAACACCGGAUACGCCCUUCGGGGGAAAGUUUACGCCGAGAGAGGGGCCCGCGUCCGAUUAGGUAGUUGGUGGGGCAAUGGCCUACCAAGCCGACGAUCGGUAGCUGGUCUGAGAGGAUGAUCAGCCACACUGGGACUGAGACACGGCCCAGACUCCUACGGGAGGCAGCAGUGGGGAAUAUUGGACAAUGGGGGCAACCCUGAUCCAGCAAUGCCGCGUGAGUGAUGAAGGCCUUAGGGUUGUAAAGCUCUUUCGCACGCGACGAUGAUGACGGUAGCGUGAGAAGAAGCCCCGGCUAACUUCGUGCCAGCCGCCGCAGUAACAC
rnacentral:rRNA from 1 species